rnacentral:rRNA from 1 species
AACGAACGCUGGCGGCAGGCCUAACACAUGCAAGUCGAACGAACGUAGCAAUACGUGAGUGGCGCACGGGAGAGUAACACGUGGGAACCUACCUUUUGGUUUGGAAUAACGUCGGGAAACUGACGCUAAUACCGGAUAAGCCCUACGGGGGAAAGAUUUAUCGCCGAAAGAUGGGCCCGCGCUAGAUUAGCUUGUUGGUGAGGUAAUGGCUCACCAAGGCUACGAUCUAUAGCUGGUCUGAGAGGAUGACCAGCCUCACUGGGACUGAGACACGGCCCAGACUCCUACGGGAGGCAGCAGUGGGGAAUAUUGGACAAUGGGGGGAAACCCUGAUCCAGCCAUGCCGCGUGAAUGAUGAAGGCCUUCGGGUUGUAAAGUUCUUUGUAGGGACGAUGAUGACGGUACCUACAGAAUAAGCUCCGGCUAACUUCGUGCCAGCAGCCGCGGUAAU